rnacentral:other from 1 species
AGCGGGCUGCUCAGACGGAGGCCACAAGUUCUACCUACAUCGUUCAGCCAGGGGUCCGUCUCUGUCCGCAGGUGUGCAGGCUCGUUCGACGAGAAGCCCGACGCGGGUACCAUAGUCCCCACCUACACAUGUGUAGGGGUUGAACUUCUUGGCCAGACGUGGAGCAGCCCGCUC